rnacentral:misc_RNA from 1 species
UCUCCGUUGGUGAACCAGCGGAGGGAUCAUUACCGAGUGAGGGUCCUUGUGGCCCGACCUCCAACCCUUUUGUGAACCACCUCGUUGCUUCGGGGGCGACCCUGCCGUUCGCGGCGUGGGGCCCCCGGAGCCCAUCAAACCCUGCGUAACUAAGUCGUCGGAGUUUAAACAAAUUAAACAAAACUUUCAACAACGGAUCUCUUGGUUCGGGCAUCGAUGAAGAACGCAGC